rnacentral:rRNA from 1 species
UACGGAGGGGGCGAGCGUUGUUCGGAUUUACUGGGCGUAAAGGGUGUGUAGGCGGCUGGAUAAGUCUGGUGUGAAAUCUUCACCGCUCAACGGGAAGGGGUCACUGGAAACUGUCCAGCUUGAGUAUGGUAGAGGCAAGCGGAAUUCCUGGUGUAGCGGUGGAAUGUGUAGAUAUCAGGAAGAACACCGGUGGCGAAGGCGGCUUGCUGGGCCAUCAUUGACGCUGAGACACGAAAGCGUGGGGAGCAAACGGG